UCAAGCGAACAAGGGCGCAGGGCGAAUGCCUUGGCACUGGGAGCCGAUGAAAGACGUGGUAAGCUGCGAUAAGCUUCGGGGAGGAGCAAACAUCCUUUGAUCCGGAGAUUUCUGAAUGAGGAAACUCACUUAGGUUCAUAUCUAAGUACGUUGUACUGAAUCCAUAGGUACAUCGGGGGAACCGCCUGAACUGAAACAUCUAAGUAGGGCGAGGAAGAGACAUCAAACGAGAUUCCGUAAGUAGUGGCGAGCGAACGCGGAAGAGGGCAAACCGAGAGUAGAAAUACUUUCGGGGUACGGAGCGCAUUUAGGACUUAAGUUGCUAAUCGAAUGGCAUGGGAAGGCCAACCAAAGAGUGUGAGAGUCACGUAGAUGAAAGCGACGAGAGCUGCGCGAGUUCCAGAGUACGGCCAGACACGUGAAACCUGGUCGGAAGAUGGGGGGACCACCCUCCAACCCUAAAUACUACCCAGUGACCGAUAGCGUAUAGUACUGUGAAGGAAAGGUGAAAAGGACCCCGGGAGGGGAGUGAAAGAGAACCUGAAACCUUGUGCCUACAAGCACAUAGAGCACAUCAACGUGUGAUAUGGUACUUUUUGUAGAACGGUCCGGCGAGCGAUUGUACGUUGCGAGCUUAAGGUCUUAAGGACUGGAGGCGUAGCGAGAGCGAGUCUGAAGAGGGCGUUCAGUAACAUGCAAUGGGCCCGAAACCGGGUGACCUACCCAUGAUCAGGCUGAAGUGAAAGUAAAAUUUCAUGGAGGGCCGAACCGACCUCCGUUGAAAAGGCGGCGGAUGAAUUGUGGGUAGCGGAGAAAUUCCAAUCGAACUCGGAGAUAGCUGGUUCUCCCCGAAAUAGCUUUAGGGCUAGCCUCAUAUUAGAUACCCGGAGGUAAAGCACUGAAUGGCCUAGCGUCCGAGAGGAUAGCGAAGCCUAUCAAACUAAGAAUGCCGGAGUAUUGAUGUAUGGGAGUCAGACAGUGUGAGAUAAAUCUCAUUGUCAAAAGGGAAACAGCCCAGAUCUACAGCUAAGGUCCCAAAUUGUAUCUAAGUGGAAAACGAUGUGGAAAUACGCAGACAACCAGGAUGUUGGCUCAGAAGCAGCCAUUCAUUUAAAGAGUGCGUAAUAGCUCACUGGUCGAGCGUCUCUGCGCGGAAAAUUUAACGGGGCUAAGAUACAAACCGAAGCUUAGGCUGCACUUUUAGUGCGGGGUAGGGGAGCGUUGUGUAAGCGGAGAAACGAUAGCGUAAGCGGUCGUGGAGUUUACAGAAGUGAGAAUGCCGGAAUGAGUAGCGCGAAUGUGGUGAGAAUCCACAUGGCCGGAAACCUCAGGUUUUUGGAGGAAGGUUCGUCCGCUCCAAGUUAGGCGGGAGCUAAGGUCAGGCCGAAAGGCGUAGCCGAUGCACAGACGGUAGAGAUUCCGUCCCCACCGAAAGAUUUAAGCACAGGGACACUUUUUGAAGGUCGGAGCCAGGUGUUGGUUCUGGUAGUGAUCGAGGGAAAUAUAGUACCGAAGUCCGGCUGGAGGAGAGGCGAGAAAAGCUGUGUGUAUAUCUAAGGUGCCCGUACCGCAAACCGACACAGGUAGGUAGGAAGAAGAUUCUAAGGCCAACGGGAGAAGGGUUGUUAAGGAACUCGGCAAGUUGACCCCGUAACUUCGGAAUAAGGGGUGCUCACGAGAGUGAGCCGCAGAGAAUAGGCCCAGGCAACUGUUUACCAAAAACACAGGUUUGUGCUAAAUCGAAAGAUGACGUAUACGAGCUGACGCCUGCCCGGUGCUGGAAGGUUAAAAGGAGAUGUGCAAGCAUUGAAUUGAAGCCCCAGUGAACGGCGGCCGUAACUAUAACGGUCCUAAGGUAGCGAAAUUCCUUGUCAGGUAAGUUCUGACCCGCAUGAAAGGCGUAAUGAUCUGGGCACUGUCUCAACAGCCCGCCCGGCGAAAUUGUAGUACCGGUGAAGAUGCCGGUUACCCGCGACAAGACGGAAAGACCCCAUGGAGCUUUACUGUAGCCUGAUAUUGGGUUUCGGUGUUGCAUGCACAGGAUAGAUG
rnacentral:rRNA from 1 species